rnacentral:lncRNA from 1 species
AUAUAUAUAUAGAGGGUAGAGCUACUAUCCUAUUAAUAGGAUAGGAGCACUUGCCCUAUCAAAUUGUUCUUAAUGAUCGAGAUUCCGAAUCGAUGAUCGGAGCCGUUGAAGUUGAUCUACAGUAUUUGAAAUAUCUAGAAACUAAAUUUUAUAAAUUUUAAAAAUUAUUUACAUGGUGAUCAAAGUGUCGUAAAAUCGAUAAUUUUUGACGGCCUAUAUGAACCGUUUGCUUGUUUAACGGUGUAGAGUAAUCUAAAUUGCUUGAAUUUUUUAUAGAAAAUUCUUUAUACUAUUUAGAUAAUGUUUGAUAACUCUGAUUAUGAAUUGAGAAAGUUUAACCUCUAUUUUAAGAAGAUUAUUCAUUUAUGACCGUUCAUUUUUUAACUCUUAAGAUGAACUUGAUAAUGAUUUUUAAAUAUUACAAAAUUUGGUUUCU